rnacentral:rRNA from 1 species
UAAUACGGAGGGUGCAAGCGUUAUCCGGAAUCACUGGGUUUAAAGGGUGCGUAGGCGGCCCGAUAAGUCAGCUGUGAAAUCGCUGGGCUCAACCCAUGCAAUUGCAGUUGAUACUGUCGGGCUUGAAUGGGGUUGAGGCUGGCGGAAUGCGACAUGUAGCGGUGAAAUGCUUAGAUAUGUCGCAGAACACCGAUUGCGAAGGCAGCCAGCUGGGCCUUUAUUGACGCUGAGGCACGAAAGCGUGGGGAGCAAACAGGAUUAGAUACCCUGGUAGUCCACGCCCUAAACGAUGCUCACUUGCUGUUCCCCUUUCGGGGGGAGUGGCGUAGGGAAACCGGUAAGUGAGCCACCUGGGGAGUACGCCCGCAAGGGUG